AGCGUACACGGUGGAUGCCCUGGCAGUCAGAGGCGAUGAAGGACGUGCUAAUCUGCGAUAAGCGUCGGUAAGGUGAUAUGAACCGUUAUAACCGGCGAUUUCCGAAUGGGGAAACCCAGUGUGAUUCGUCACACUAUCAUUAACUGAAUCCAUAGGUUAAUGAGGCGAACCGGGGGAACUGAAACAUCUAAGUACCCCGAGGAAAAGAAAUCAACCGAGAUUCCCCCAGUAGCGGCGAGCGAACGGGGAGCAGCCCAGAGCCUGAAUCAGUGUGUGUGUUAGUGGAAGCGUCUGGAAAGGCGUGCGAUACAGGGUGACAGCCCCGUACACAAAAAUGCACAUGCUGUGAGCUCGAUGAGUAGGGCGGGACACGUGGUAUCCUGUCUGAAUAUGGGGGGACCAUCCUCCAAGGCUAAAUACUCCUGACUGACCGAUAGUGAACCAGUACCGUGAGGGAAAGGCGAAAAGAACCCCGGCGAGGGGAGUGAAAAAGAACCUGAAACCGUGUACGUACAAGCAGUGGGAGCACGCUUAGGCGUGUGACUGCGUACCUUUUGUAUAAUGGGUCAGCGACUUAUAUUCUGUAGCAAGGUUAACCGAAUAGGGGAGCCGAAGGGAAACCGAGUCUUAACUGGGCGUUAAGUUGCAGGGUAUAGACCCGAAACCCGGUGAUCUAGCCAUGGGCAGGUUGAAGGUUGGGUAACACUAACUGGAGGACCGAACCGACUAAUGUUGAAAAAUUAGCGGAUGACUUGUGGCUGGGGGUGAAAGGCCAAUCAAACCGGGAGAUAGCUGGUUCUCCCCGAAAGCUAUUUAGGUAGCGCCUCGUGAAUUCAUCUCCGGGGGUAGAGCACUGUUUCGGCAAGGGGGUCAUCCCGACUUACCAACCCGAUGCAAACUGCGAAUACCGGAGAAUGUUAUCACGGGAGACACACGGCGGGUGCUAACGUCCGUCGUGAAGAGGGAAACAACCCAGACCGCCAGCUAAGGUCCCAAAGUCAUGGUUAAGUGGGAAACGAUGUGGGAAGGCCCAGACAGCCAGGAUGUUGGCUUAGAAGCAGCCAUCAUUUAAAGAAAGCGUAAUAGCUCACUGGUCGAGUCGGCCUGCGCGGAAGAUGUAACGGGGCUAAACCAUGCACCGAAGCUGCGGCAGCGACGCUUAUGCGUUGUUGGGUAGGGGAGCGUUCUGUAAGCCUGCGAAGGUGUGCUGUGAGGCAUGCUGGAGGUAUCAGAAGUGCGAAUGCUGACAUAAGUAACGAUAAAGCGGGUGAAAAGCCCGCUCGCCGGAAGACCAAGGGUUCCUGUCCAACGUUAAUCGGGGCAGGGUGAGUCGACCCCUAAGGCGAGGCCGAAAGGCGUAGUCGAUGGGAAACAGGUUAAUAUUCCUGUACUUGGUGUUACUGCGAAGGGGGGACGGAGAAGGCUAUGUUGGCCGGGCGACGGUUGUCCCGGUUUAAGCGUGUAGGCUGGUUUUCCAGGCAAAUCCGGAAAAUCAAGGCUGAGGCGUGAUGACGAGGCACUACGGUGCUGAAGCAACAAAUGCCCUGCUUCCAGGAAAAGCCUCUAAGCAUCAGGUAACAUCAAAUCGUACCCCAAACCGACACAGGUGGUCAGGUAGAGAAUACCAAGGCGCUUGAGAGAACUCGGGUGAAGGAACUAGGCAAAAUGGUGCCGUAACUUCGGGAGAAGGCACGCUGAUAUGUAGGUGAAGUCCCUCGCGGAUGGAGCUGAAAUCAGUCGAAGAUACCAGCUGGCUGCAACUGUUUAUUAAAAACACAGCACUGUGCAAACACGAAAGUGGACGUAUACGGUGUGACGCCUGCCCGGUGCCGGAAGGUUAAUUGAUGGGGUCAGCGCAAGCGAAGCUCUUGAUCGAAGCCCCGGUAAACGGCGGCCGUAACUAUAACGGUCCUAAGGUAGCGAAAUUCCUUGUCGGGUAAGUUCCGACCUGCACGAAUGGCGUAAUGAUGGCCAGGCUGUCUCCACCCGAGACUCAGUGAAAUUGAACUCGCUGUGAAGAUGCAGUGUACCCGCGGCAAGACGGAAAGACCCCGUGAACCUUUACUAUAGCUUGACACUGAACAUUGAGCCUUGAUGUGUAGGAUAGGUGGGAGGCUUGGAAGUGUGGACGCCAGUCUGCAUGGAGCCGACCUUGAAAUACCACCCUUUAAUGUUUGAUGUUCUAACGUUGACCCGUAAUCCGGGUUGCGGACAGUGUCUGGUGGGUAGUUUGACUGGGGCGGUCUCCUCCUAAAGAGUAACGGAGGAGCACGAAGGUUGGCUAAUCCUGGUCGGACAUCAGGAGGUUAGUGCAAUGGCAUAAGCCAGCUUGACUGCGAGCGUGACGGCGCGAGCAGGUGCGAAAGCAGGUCAUAGUGAUCCGGUGGUUCUGAAUGGAAGGGCCAUCGCUCAACGGAUAAAAGGUACUCCGGGGAUAACAGGCUGAUACCGCCCAAGAGUUCAUAUCGACGGCGGUGUUUGGCACCUCGAUGUCGGCUCAUCACAUCCUGGGGCUGAAGUAGGUCCCAAGGGUAUGGCUGUUCGCCAUUUAAAGUGGUACGCGAGCUGGGUUUAGAACGUCGUGAGACAGUUCGGUCCCUAUCUGCCGUGGGCGCUGGAGAACUGAGGGGGGCUGCUCCUAGUACGAGAGGACCGGAGUGGACGCAUCACUGGUGUUCGGGUUGUCAUGCCAAUGGCACUGCCCGGUAGCUAAAUGCGGAAGAGAUAAGUGCUGAAAGCAUCUAAGCACGAAACUUGCCCCGAGAUGAGUUCUCCCUGACUCCUUGA
rnacentral:rRNA from 1 species